rnacentral:rRNA from 1 species
UACGAAGGGGGCUAGCGUUGUUCGGAAUCACUGGGCGUAAAGGGCGCGUAGGCGGCCGCUCAAGUCGGGGGUGAAAGCCUGUGGCUUAACCACAGAAUUGCCUUCGAUACUGUUUGGCUUGAGACCGGAAGAGGUGAGUGGAACUGCGAGUGUAGAGGUGAAAUUCGUAGAUAUUCGCAAGAACACCAGUGGCGAAGGCGGCUCACUGGUCCGGUUCUGACGCUGAGGCGACGAAGCGGUGGGAGCAAACAGG